rnacentral:rRNA from 1 species
ACACGUAGGGCGCAAGCGUUGUCCGGAUUUAUUGGGCGUAAAGGGCUCGUAGGCGGUUUCGUAAGUCGGGUGUGAAAACUCAGGGCUCAACCCUGAGACGCCACUCGAUACUGCGAUGACUUGAGUCCGGUAGGGGAGCAGGGAAUUCCUGGUGUAGCGGUGAAAUGCGCAGAUAUCAGGAGGAACACCAUUAGAGAAGGCGCUGCUCUGGGCCGGUACUGACGCUGAGGAGCGAAAGCAUGGGGAGCAAACAGGAUUAGAAACCCUAGUAGUCC